rnacentral:misc_RNA from 1 species
GAUGAAGAACGUAGCGAAAUGCGAUAAGUAAUGUGAAUUGCAGAAUUCAGUGAAUCAUCGAAUCUUUGAACGCACAUUGCGCCCCUUGGUAUUCCGAGGGGCAUGCCUGUUCGAGCGUCAUUAUAACCCCUCAAGCUCAGCUUGGUGUUGGGGCCUGCUGCACUGGCAGCCCUUAAAAUCAGUGGCGGCGCCAUCUGGCUCUAAGCGUAGUAAUUCUUCUCGCUAUGGAGUCCUGGUGGAUGCUUGCCAUCAACCCCCAAUUUUUCUAUGGUUGACCUCGGAUCAGGUAGGGAUACCCGCUGAACUUAAGCAUAUCAAUAAGGAGGA